GGGAGGAGGACAGCUGCCCUGUAGGGGGGGGGCCCAUGGGCCACCUGACAGCUGCCAGUCUCAGGCCCUGAUACAAGGGCGGAGAAGGUGCUGGGGCUGCGGGGAAGUGGCCUGGGGGAAACAGACGGUGGAGUAGGAGGAGGGGCAGUACAUGGCUGCUGGCUAUCGGGUCCCUGGGCUGGGACCCAGAGGAGCAAGCGGGCCCAGGUCCUGUCCCUGCCUUUGCCCCCCCCACUUGCCCCCGAGGGGAGUGGCCGGACUGAGGACUGUUGGGUCCCCCGGCAGGGGGAGAGAACCGAGUGGGGCACAGUCAGAGGGCUGUGUCCAGAAGAGGAUGCUGCGGUCCAGGGAGCGAGGUGGGGGCGAGACACCACUAGACGAGGGUGCUCCAGCGAAACGAGAGCUAAUUCCCAGGAUGGCCAGCAGGAGGCGUCGCGGUGAUACGGCAGCAUUGCAUCGGGGGCAUUGCAUCGGGUGUUUCAGAACUGUCUCGGGGAAGGGCCCACUCCUGUCCCCCCCAUCUGUAAGGGGCACUUUUACAUCAGGACACUUUCUCCACCCCACGACAUCCCUCUGCCCCUGCUGGCAUGAUCGUCCCAAGCGCGAAUGGGAGGUGUGGGAGAAGCAGACAAGCGGGCGAUGGAGGCCGGUGAUCGCACAGCAAGAAAUUAAAUGUGAAAGGCAGGGCAUGGCGAGGUGGAGAAGGGGCUUAACAGCAAGACAGGAAGCCAGCGCUUGCAGGGAGGCAAGUGUAAAUGGUGGUGGCAAUAGCGCUGGGAAACCAUGGAGAUGAUGGUCUCCCCCUACCCCCCCCCGAUAUACCCCCACUUCAGGAACGCCACGCAGACAUGCUUCUCCCCCUCAUGUCCCUGUGGUGCAACCCCGGUGCCGGAUGCCCCAACGCCGCCUUGCCAUGCAACUCCACGACUCAUUGCAACGCCCACCAAAAUUGGUGACUCCCUGGUCCAGUCUGACCCCCUUCACCAGGAGCGAUCCAUGAUGGAAUCAGUGGGAAUUGUCCCAGGUGCAUUGUCCCGGGUGCAGACAUGGCUUGCUAUCCAUUAUGCACACCAGCCGGCUGUCUAGAGCAGCCAGCAAGUCUGAAGAACUGCUCUGAGAUCAAGGCACUCUCUCUUGGAUGCUAGCGAAAAGCCUGUCCCAGUGGCAUGUAGCCCUUGAGAUCGCAAAGGGCUCCUAUGAACAACACUUCUACCAAAAGCAGAUCUUGUCCCUCCUUAUUUCUGCCAUCCUUGACGAGCAGCUCUUAACGAGAGGGGACAAUGGCUCCUUCCGGCCUUUAAUAACUGUUGCUGCAGGGGACAGCAGAGAGGAAGGUGCAUGAUUAAAAGCUAAAGCCAAACCGAAUCCUCCUGGCUGGACCCGUGUCCUUCCCCCCAGCUGCAAUGAGAAGCUGUCCAGCCAGCUAGGUUUAUCCAAGCAAAAGAAGGACAAAGGCAACUGCGCCUGCCUCCCCCUUACUCUCCUAGCAGCGUGACCUUCAGCUGUAGACGCCCCAGGACAGAGCCAACCCUGUUUGGAAACACACGUGGUACGAUCUUUGUCUGCUGCUAUCUGCGGGCUCUGAGCUCACCUUGAGCUGUCAGUUUCACCUGGGUGCUUUCAGAAGCCCCCCUCCCCCAGAGCUGACCCUUCCCUAGAACUUCCUCUGUGCGCCCCCCAGCCCCCUGAAAUGCAACUUUGCUGCAGUCCAGGUUAAAAACCGGGCUGCGUUUAGUCUUGAGACAAGACGACGGCAGAGGGCCGUGAUACCAUCCUGCUGCUGUGUCAAGGGCUGGGACAAAGAGGACUGCGCUCAGUUGUUCUCCAUGUCCACUACACAAACCUCAGCGAUGCUUCGGAGGAAGCGCCGUGGGGAUGCGAACCACGGUUGCAUGGGGCUGAAGAGGAACCAGGAGACGGCUCCCAGGCAAGACUCCAAACUCUAUGCAACACACAAGCGUUUUGUCGCAUAUGUUUAAACCAAAUUAAAGAUGGUUUUACUAA